rnacentral:rRNA from 1 species
AUGGAGACCGGAGACCAUGGCUCGGUGCCAUGCUCCUAUGCCCAGCUGCUGGACGAUGCGGAGGCCGAUCGCACGCGCCCAGGCCGAACCGGGCCACUGUGCGCCGCUAUUCUCCUGACUUCGGCGGCGGUGCUCCUCGCUGUUGCCGCGCUCGCCGGCGUCAGGCUCGCGGGCCAGCUGUCGGCCGCCGGCGUCAUCAUGUCCGGCCACCCGAGCACGGUCGACGCGGCGCCGAUGAGCGCCAGCAGCCGGGGGCCUGAGUCUGCCGUCUCAGAAAAGACGUCCGGAACCGCCACGCACGGCGGCAUGCUGGGCGCGGAGGCCGGCGGCAACGCGUUCCCGUGGAGCAAUGCCAUGCUCCAGUGGCAGCGCACCGGAUUCCACUUCCAGCCCGAGAAGAACUGGAUGAACGACCCCAACGGUCCGGUGUACUACAAGGGGUGGUACCAUCUCUUCUACCAGUACAACCCGGACGGCGCUAUUUGGGGCAACAAGAUAGCAUGGGGCCACGCCGCGUCCCGCGACCUCCUCCGCUGGCGCCACCUCCCAGUUGCCAUGUCUCCGGACCAAUGGUAUGACAUCAAUGGCGUCUGGUCAGGUUCUGCCACCGUCCUCCCCGACGGCCGCAUCGUCAUGCUCUACACCGGAUCCACCAAUGCCUCCGUCCAGGUCCAGUGCCUCGCCUUUCCGACUGAUCCCUCCGACCCAUUGCUAAUCAACUGGACCAAGUAUGAGAACAACCCAGUGAUGUACCCGCCACCCGGUGUCGGGGAGAAGGACUUCAGGGACCCGACCACUGCAUGGUUUGACGGCUCUGAUGACACAUGGCGGCUCGUCAUUGGAUCCAAGGAUGACCGCCAUGCCGGCAUGGUCAUGACCUACAAGACCAAGGAUUUCAUCGACUAUGAGCUUGUCCCCGGAUUGCUUCACCGGGUGCCGGGGACGGGGAUGUGGGAGUGCAUCGACCUAUACCCGGUCGAAGGCGUGAGGGGCAUUGACAUGACGGACGCGGUGGCGGCAGUGUCCACCAAUGGCGCUGACGAUGUGUUGCACGUGAUGAAGGAGAGCUCUGACGAUGACCGACACGACUACUACGCGUUGGGGAGGUAUAACGCGGCGAAGAACACAUGGACACCGCUGGACGUCGACGCCGAUCUCGGCAUCGGGCUAAGGUACGACUGGGGGAAGUUCUACGCGUCCAAGACGUUCUACGAUCCGGCAAAGAAGCGGCGCGUGCUAUGGGGGUGGGUUGGUGAAACCGACUCCGAGCGCGCCGACGUCGCCAAGGGAUGGGCCUCGCUCCAGUCGACCCCUCGCACGGUGGUGCUGGACACUAAGACGGGAAGCAACCUCCUUCAGUGGCCGGUGGAGGAGGUGGAGACGCUCCGGACCAACUCCACUAACCUUGGCGGCGUCACCAUUGACCACGGCUCCGUCUUUCCACUCAGCCUUCAUCGCGCCACCCAGCUAGACAUCGAGGCCACAUUCCGCCUCGACCCGCUAGACAUUGCCGUCGCCAAUGAGGCUGAUGUGGGCUACAAUUGCAGCACAAGCGGUGGUGCCGCAGGGCGGGGCAUGCUCGGCCCCUUUGGCCUCCUUGUGCUUGCCGACGCCAGGCGCCAUGGAGGUGACGCAGAGCGUACUGCCGUCUACUUCUAUGUGGCCAGGGGCCUCGACGGCGGCUUGCACACACACUUCUGCCAUGAUGAGACACACUCAUCUCGUGCCAACGACAUUGUCAAGAGGGUCGUAGGCCAUACCGUGCCGGUGCUCGAUGGCGAGGAGCUGUCAGUGAGGGUGCUUGUGGAUCAUUCGAUCGUUGAGAGCUUUGCGAUGGGUGGGAGGUUGACGGCAACAUCACGAGUGUACCCAACGGAGGCCAUCUACGCCAACGCCGGGGUGUACCUCUUCAACAAUGCCACCGGCGCCCGGGUCACCACCACCAGGCUCGUCGUCCACGAGAUGGACUCUUCCUACAACCAAGCCUACAUGGCCUCAUUGUAA